rnacentral:tmRNA from 1 species
GGGGUUGACUGGAUUUGACGGCGAGAUGAGAUGGUACGUAAGCACGCGGAGGCUCGUUGGUUCCCUCCUUAAUCUGAGCUGGCGCAAAUUUAAUUGGCAACAAACAGUAUGCUCUCGCUGCCUAAUCGAAGUACAGUAGAUUACUGGCUUUAUUCUCUUACAAGGUAGGAGAACGAGACGUCGCUCCAAGGAUGUUGUUCCGAAUCUGAGGAUGAAGCGGCGCAGGAAAAUCGGAAAUAGUCUGUUCAGGUCUCGAUGUUCAGAUGAAAUCUUAGAGAAUAAGGUUAUGAUUGGUGGUCCAGGUCUUGUCAUAACACGAAAAUGAAGGCUGGAAUAAGCGUGUAGAAAGCGUAUGGUUUCCUUGUGCGGACGUGGGUUCGAAUCCCACCAGCUCCACC